rnacentral:rRNA from 1 species
GACGAACGCUGGCGGCGUGCUUAACACAUGCAAGUCGUACGGUAAGGCCCUUUCGGGGGUACACGAGUGGCGAACGGGUGAGUAACACGUGAGUAACCUGCCCACAACUUUGGGAUAACGCUAGGAAACUGGUGCUAAUACUGGAUAUGUGCUCCUGCUGCAUGGUGGGGGUUGGAAAGCUCCGGCGGUUGUGGAUGGACUCGCGGCCUAUCAGCUUGUUGGUGGGGUAGUGGCCUACCAAGGCGGCGACGGGUAGCCGGCCUGAGAGGGUGACCGGCCACAUUGGGACUGAGAUACGGCCCAGACUCCGACGGGAGGCAGCAGUGGGGAAGAUUGCACAAUGGGCGCAAGCCUGAUGCAGCAACGCCGCGGGCGGGAUGACGGCCUUCGGGUUGUAAACCGCUUUCAGCAGGGACGAAGCUUUUUGUGACGGUACCUGCAGAAGAAGCACCGGCUAACUACGUG